GAUGAAGCGAGGAGGUGGUUAUGAAGAGAUCGUCUACACAGCAAUUUUACUUAGCGUAUUUUCGUGCGACGCAGAAUGCGUCCCGGCUCUUUCGUUUGAGUACGAAUCAGCGGCUGAAAAUGCUCGAAGAAUUAAUGCAGUGGGAAGUGACAAUCCCGGUCUCGAAACCCUGAAACGCGUCCAUCAUGUGUGACUGAGUAUUGGUGCUAAUCACCACGCCAGCAGUUAUUAUCUGCUGGCUUUUUUC
rfam:Kluyvera intestini strain GT-16 tig00000000, whole genome shotgun sequence.